UCCUUUCUUUUUGUCCUUUCUCUUUUCCUUUUCUUUCUUUCUUUCUUUUUUCCCUUCUUCUUUCUUUCAAUCACGAACAACCCGACGAAACGAAGCGCACUCGCGUGUGCGUCGUUGCAACGUUUUACUUUGGCCCUUGCACGCCAUUACGGACAUGGUGCCACACCAGCGCCAUCUGACAACCAGCCGACACACGUUUCUUAUUCGAUGUCAUCAAUACGUAACUAAAUUAACCAAACAUUGUUUUUUAUAUUAUUCAUUCAAUAGUACUGUCAUUAAUUCCGCACCUUUUUUUAAAUUAAUAUUUUUUCCUCAAAUUUCAAGUGAUAUUGUAAUUCGAAAAUUGUAAUGUUUUGAAUAAUAAUAUUAAGAACUAUUUUAAUAAGAUUUAAAAUAUACCUAUUAUCAGGCUUUUAAAGUAAACACCGUUCAAACCUAAAAUCUAGGUUAGACAAAAAAAUGUAAUGUAUAAAAAAUAAAUAUAUUUAUUUGUGGAAUAUUCUUCUCUAUUUGUGUAAAUAUUAUUUUUAUUGUAAAUAGUGCUGAGUGAAUUUAGAAAUCUGUGUCUGAUUAUUGGUGCAUCAAAAAGUGAAACUACAUUAUUGUGAAACUUAAUUGUUUGAUAAUUAAAAAGUUUCUACGAUAACUAAAUUAUUUGUAAAUAACGUUUAUAAAAUAUCUUUUUUACAUUAUGAAUAUGACAUAAUACUACAAUCUGUAAUAUUGCAGUAUGUUUGGUAAACAAAAUAACUAUAUCUUGAGCAAUGGAUGUACAUUAGCUAUUGCAAUUUGAAGGAUUCUAAUAACAAAACAAAUACGUAGGCAUAUGACGUCAACGAACAGCACAGUGUUAAGCAUAGUUUCGAUCUGCCUUGUAGCUGCAGCUUACAGCACUCUCUACAUUCGACUACCUCAACUACAAAUCGAGUUUCGAUUUAUCUUAUAAGGCGCGAUAUUUCCUCGUUUGAUUAAGAAUUUCGACUUACCACCAAGUAUUUAAAAAUGCUGUAACACUUUUAAUUAAUAAUAAAGAAUUUUAAUGC